rnacentral:rRNA from 1 species
GGGUGAGUAACGCGUAGGAAUCUACCUCGUAGUGGGGGAUAACCUGGUGAAAACCAGGCUAAUACCGCAUGAGCCCUAAGGGGGAAAGCAGGGGACCGUAAGGCCUUGUGCUAUGAGAUGAGCCUGCGUCAGAUUAGCUAGUUGGUGGGGUAAAGGCCUACCAAGGCGAUGAUCUGUAGCUGGUCUGAGAGGACGACCAGCCACACUGGGACUGAGACACGGCCCAGACUCCUACGGGAGGCAGCAGUGGGGAAUAUUGGACAAUGGGCGCAAGCCUGAUCCAGCAAUGCCGCGUGUGUGAAGAAGGCCUGCGGGUUGUAAAGCACUUCAGUGGGGAGGAAGGCCUCAAUGCUAAUAGUAUUGAGGAUUGACGUUACCCACAGAAGAAGCACCGGCUAACUCUGUGCCAGCAGCCGCGGUAAUACAGAGGGUGCGAAGACGUUAA